rnacentral:rRNA from 1 species
GACGAACGCUGGCGGCGUGCUUAACACAUGCAAGUCGAACGGAAAGGCCCUGCUUUUGUGGGGUGCUCGAGUGGCGAACGGGUGAGUAACACGUGAGUAACCUGCCCUUGACUUUGGGAUAACUUCAGGAAACUGGGGCUAAUACCGGAUAGGAGCUCCUGCUGCAUGGUGGGGGUUGGAAAGUUUCGGCGGUUGGGGAUGGACUCGCGGCUUAUCAGCUUGUUGGUGGGGUAGUGGCUUACCAAGGCUUUGACGGGUAGCCGGCCUGAGAGGGUGACCGGCCAGGUCGGGACUGAGAGAAGGCACAGGGAGAGCGGCGAGGGAGCACUGGGCGAGGGUGUACAAAGCGCUGAAGGGUGAUGUAGAAAUGGCGCGGGAGCGAGGACGGCCUGCAGGUAGGAAACCAAGGUCGCAUGGGACGAAGGGUAAAUGACGGUAGCCGGUAAAGAGAAAACGGCUAAUUUAGUG